rnacentral:lncRNA from 1 species
AAAAGAACAGAGAAUCUUCCUUUGCUUUCAGAUGAAACUACAACCCAAUCGCAGAGUAAGUUAGAAGUUAGGUAAUUGGGAAUUAUUUCUUCUGCAUAAGGCUGACAUCAUUUACCCCUAUCUAAUAACUUCGGUUUGGUGGAAGGGAAGGAAGAAGGAAUGAUGGAAGAAAAAGGGGUUGGGAUACAUGAAAACUCACAACAGUACUAUACCUUUUUCAGGUCUCAGUGAAGGAGUUUGGGUGUUUCUCAUGAAGUGCCACCGAUCCCUAUGAGAAAUAUGUUUGUAGUGCUCCACGCCUGCUUGGAGAGUCCAAGAACUGCUAAAAACUGAUGGCCCUUGUCCAAGACAACAGGAAAUUUUCAGGUCACGUGUUCCUUUCCAGAGAGUUGUUUUGUGGAUACAAUGGCAUUCACAAGAUUUAGAGGACUUCCGCAUAAUUUUAUUUUCACAUACCAACAAUCACUUACGAGAGCCCUCAGCAUGGGGCAUGGGUCUGACUGCUGAAAGAAGUGUCCAUGCAAAUCUCAUUCUCUAUUUUCUGUAAUCACCACCUGAAAUACGUAAGUAAAACACACAGUCUAAUGUACCUUAAUGUUCAUCCUCAUACUUUAAAAUAAGCAUUAUUUCUUGGUGACUAUACUUGAGAAGUUUUCUAUUUAAACUGCGUAUACAUAUGAUACCAAUUUUUUUAAA